GUAGGUGGCGAGCGUUAUCCGGAUUUACUGGGCGUAAAGCGCGUGCAGGCGGGUUCCGUAAGUCGGACGUGAAAGCUCCUGGCUUAACUGGGAGAGGCCCGUUCGAUACUGCGGGACUUGAGGUCGGGAGAGGGACGUGGAAUUCCCGGUGUAGUGGUGGAAUGCGUAGAUAUCGGGAGGAACACCAGUGGCGAAGGCGGCGUCCUGGCCCGCACCUGACGCUAAGACGCGAAAGCGUGGGUAGCGAACGGGAUUAGAUACCCCGGUAGUCCACGCCGUAAACGGUGGAUACUAGGUGUUGGUGGCUAUCGUCAUCAGUGCCGUAGCUAACGCGUUAAGUAUCCCGCCUGGGGACUACGGCCGCAAGGCUA
rnacentral:rRNA from 1 species